UUAGAUGGGGUGUAUAUCAACUUGAUAAAUUAGUUUAAUUUGGGGACCCUUACCCUUUGCGCACGUCCCAGAUUACGCCCUCAUUAUUCUCAUUAUAGCCCUUUUCUCGUGACGGCCAGCGGCUGCAAAAAGGAGAAAGCGACUCAAACAAACCGUUGGCCCAAAUUCCAUUCUUUGGUAAGUAACUUUAUUUGUUUUUAUAAUAGCUUGGAAUGUAUUUCGCUGUCGAUUAAGGCUUCCAUUCUGUAAUAAUGACCAUACUAUGUGCAACAGCUGUGAUCAUUUAGCUGGCUAAUAUUGUUUCAAAUUGGCAGGCCUGCUGGCAAGCUAAGAAGUAGCCGACAUGGUUAGCAUUACAGAGCAGAGCCGACACCCUGUCAUUAAUACAACUUAGGUGCCGAACCAUAUGCUCCCAAAAAAAGGCGAGCAGUUGAAGCUGCGGAGAGUUGAAGAGAGUUUAGCCACGUUUUCUUAACUGACAAAUAUUUAAUGUUAAUUAAGCCUGGGCACAUCUUUUGCAGUUUAAUCAGCAUAACUCAGCUUCUUAGUCCGUUAAUUACGCGGCACCCCGUCAUGCUGUAAACAUGUAUCUGCAGUUACUGUAUUUGUAUUUAUUUCAAUCUAGAUGUUACAGUGUUAUGUGAAUACGAGGUGUUGUUGUAUCAUAAUGAGGUUAUCAGGUUAUUCAACUGCAGUACGACGGCACAGAAAGCAAAGGUAGAAAAUGCACGGCCUGCCACUGGAUCAUUGUAACAACAUCUUGUCCACAUUUGCAUUUUUAAACACGUGUUGAAUAGUUAAUUGACAAUUUAUUUUAGAUGUUAUCCAGUUUUCUUUAAAGAGCUAUGAAGUGUUUCUUUUUCAUUAACAAAAACACCAGCUGUUAAUUGUUGAAAGGCUGCAUUUAGGGGUUCGGUGUCCUCUUCAGGGUUGCUUGGACAGAGGUGAACCCUCGGUCUUCAGACAACAGGCUCUCCUGCCUGGACCACCGCCACACCCACAUUGAGCUAAAUUCUUUCUUGAGUUGUCUCCCUUGUUUUAGUCUGCCCCCCCACCGGUGUUAAUGAUGUCAUUCUGAAAAGUAUUAUCAACCUCAUCUGUGAAGAUCCAGACUCUUUUCAAAAAGUAUCUGGUAGGUUUUCACAAUAUAUUUUAUAAUAUCCCACGUGGCAACAAAGUGUUACCCACACUUAUUUCUCCCAUGGCACUCUAGGUAUUAUGAGACAUUGCUAUGGUACACCACCAUCCCUAAUUAUGGAUAGGUGUCUUACCAAGUGUCUAGACCGCAAACGUAGUGUCAAUGCUGCACUCACUUGGUCUAAUUUUCACACUGCACUUGAGCAAAUGACUCGGUUCUGUAUUUGUUCCCUUAUCAAAAAGCUUGACAAAUCAUAAUAAGGGUUACACAAUACAGAGUCAACAGCGAGAAAGGAGAAAGCAAUAAAAUCAAAGAACAGGUCCAGAUCAGAAAAUAUAUGUUGUGGUGUUUAAUUCAAAUGUAUAUAUAAUUCCAUAACCCAGACUAAUGUUGCAAUUCAACCUAUAAAAUGCGUGUAAUAAUAUUCUGUUAGUUUUCUGUGUUUGUGUGUUCAGGCCUCCACUGCUGAGGAUGGAGAGAGGGACAUGGCAUUCAGUGUCGGGGGGGUUCUCAUGAUCCGUCUGGAAAGCCAGACGACGUGGGAAUUGUGAUCAACACAUUGAUGUCCUGAAACAACACAGAUGGGGUCCUCAUGACAUUCAUCAUGCUUCGUGCUCAUUUGUGCCAUUGAUCUGAGCUUUCUAAACAACCUUAAGUACAGCAUGAGGCUUUUCCAGAAGAUCAUAAAAGAAAUUCAAAGAUACAGCAACUGAAGAUCAAGUUGUUUGCACAGGAGUCAAACACCAAGUGAGAAAGCAAAUUAACUUCAUCCGCUCUUUGGGCAUCCAUUGGACCUGUUUCUGCACAUGAUAAUACAGCUAUUCUUCAAUGUAAAUGACCAAUUGCAUGAAUGCAUCUUUGUUUAUAUGGGCCAUGUGUACUACAAGGAAAGAAAACAAAGCUGUAAUGCUCUUGAUAAACAAAGUAGUGAGAAUUUAGCAAUUGCAAAAUUGGUUGUGUAUCAAUUGCAGGAAUUUCUUCUGUGCUUUUUUUGAAAGGUGGUCCAUGGAGAAUGAGCAGAACGUUCAAUGCAAAGAUUUCUCCUCUUUGGAAAGCAGUGCGAAGCCUCCACCCUCGUGGCGUCUUUGUUGCGUCAGGUACCAUGACAUUUGGGAUAGCUUUGGAUUUAUGUUUCACUAUUUAAUACUAUUUAAGAUAUAUAUUAAUAUUUCAUCAGGAAAUAUCCACAUGCUAACUCUCUCAAAUCUGACACUGACAUUCUCUCACGAUCUACUUUUGUAUGUUACCAAACUAACUGCCGGACAUAAAAGUGGAAGUUUACCUAUAACUCUGUGUACAGCUAGUGAUAAAGUUUAGCUUGUCGUAAGCAAGACUGAGAGCAAAGAUUGUCGUAAGCAAGACUGAGAGCAAAGAGUACAAUAAACCUUGUACCCUGAUGCUGAUACCAGCUGUGGAAUUUGGCAAGAGUGCUGCCGUUUGGGUACUACUACUACUACUACUACUACACAAGAACAGCUUUGCAUAUUGAUUUGUAUACUUCCAACAUCUCCGGGUCAUGAUGAAAUGUAGGCCCACACAAGUUGGUACAAUUUUCAGUUUGUUUACUGUUAACUUAUUAUGAUAAGAUAAUGAAUGCAGCUUCAACAAAGUAAAGUAAACCAUGACUUGAUUUGACAUAGUGGGAGCUUUCUGUGUGAUGCGGCUCGGUGCUUCAUGCUCAUUUGCAAUGUAAAGUGUGAAGAGGAGUGGAGCUGCGUCUGCUCCCUGUGGAACGCCCGCACUCCAGAUAGCCAGUCUUUUCUAUUACUAGAGGGCUCUAUGAUGAUGAUGGGCAAAAUGUACAACAUUUAGUGAGGUUAUGAUUGGCUGGAGGGGCAAUCGUUACUACAUCCACUUAACUAAAGAUCACUGCUGUAAGCCCCGAGGCUACACGGGGAACGUGAGCGUGAAUGGCCGUCUCUUUUUGUGUGUCAGCGCUGGGAUUGACCGAUGACCUGUUCAAGGCGUACGCCACCUCUCAUCCCGAUGUUGGAGCUGCAGCUGCAGCCACGCACGACCCUCCAAGCGGUUGAAGAUAAUACAUGGAUGGAUUUUUGACCUCACAAGAUGCACCUAAAGAAUAUCUUUCAUACGCACUUCUGAUAUGAUCAGGAGAAUGGUUAAAGAAUGUGUCUAGAGUCAAUUACAUGUGGAUUUGUGCUUUGAAUCAUGCCUUGUCCAUUAAGUCAUUUUCUCUCCCUCUCUCUCUACCUCUUUUGAAUAGGCACUUCCUCAUUUUAAUGUUUAUCUUUAUCUGCAUCAUGGCUUUCUUCAUUUUAUGAAUCUACCUUUUUUCUUAUUUCUCUGGCAUUUGCGUUAUUUUGCGUAAUAAUGCAUGACAUUUUCCAUUCACUGCAGUGCUUCAACAUUUGAAUGUUUUGAAUGAAUGCUUUUACAUUUGCAUAUACAGUAUAAGCAGGCAGCUUUUUAGCACAUAAACAGAUGCAUUUUAUGCUUAUGUAAGUAGCAGCAUUGUUGGCAAUACAUUGAAUUAAAUAAGGGGCUUCUACUUUCACAAAUGUGUAGCUGCAUUGAUAAUGUUUGGCCGGUGCCCCAAAUUAAAAUGCAGCUUUAAGACUUUUUACAUCAUAUCGUAGCAUAUAAUGUUAUUAGCAGUUACAGCUUAAAAAUCAAUGUUGCAUCUACUAUUCUUGCAGUCUGGAUUGUUAGUGGAGGCAACUUCUUUGUUUGCUAGAACACCUGUGAAGGACCACUUAACAAAAGUGAGAAAAUCAACCUCAAGGAGACGUAUCAUGCUCGCUGGUUUCUUUUCUGGCAUUCCAAUGUUUGUUCCUUUUUACCAGUCUACUAAAAUAUUCCUAAAAGGCUAGUGUGUGGAGGUCAACUAGGCUUCAUUGUUACACCAGAACUCACAGAAUUGAACAUUUAGUCAAGUAAGGUCUUAAGAAAAAAUGUGAGGUGCUUGUACUUCACUUGAUAGAAUUUCAUACUCAUUUAUAGUUCUAAGCCACGUCAUUUCAGUUCAAUAGUCACUUUAGAUUGUUGAUUUUUAUUUUGUAUUAAUAAUCGCAAAGAUAUUGGACGUGAUGUAUUAUUAUAGAUUACGCUACUCGGCUGUGCAUAUUAUCCAUUAUACUGAAAUUGCUGCUUGAUUAAUUCCCUUUGUAAUCAAAUAAUUGCUGUUUUGAGGAUGAACUUCAAAAAUGAAAGUCGACUAGGAAUUAUACAUAAAUAUGCAAAUUCAUACUGUAGAUAUCUCCUAGAGGCGUCAGUAAGGUCACUAUGGAAGCAGAACUGUAAACUGCUAACUCUAUACGGUUGGAAUUUGUGUUCAUUUUAAUUUCAAAUAUUCACAGUUGUGUGUCGACUGGUUGUUAUUCCAAAGGAUUAAUGAUAAUGUAAUUAAACCGUGUGUGACACACACACACACACACACACACGGAGCAGAGACCCCGGGAGAAGGGUGGACCGUACAGGUCGAUCCCUCCCUCAGCAUCUAACUCUAAGGUGAGCAGCGCUGCCUGCAAUCAGGAGAGGCGAGCUGCUCCACGCCUCCCGUCCCACUGCCCAGCGCCUGCUCAUUAAAUCCAGUGUUCAAAGAGAGAAGUGGCCGGAUUGCAGGAAUUUAUACACGUGCAUCUGGCCAUAUUUUCUCCUACGUAGUGACUCUGCAUGUAGUACACAUACAAAGAAAUGUAUGUCCAAAGUGUUAUGAAUGUACAUGUCGGAGUCUAAUGAAUGGAAUCUAUUUCCUGUGUCGGUACAGCCACUGGUGAAUAUGCAGGAUGUAAAACAAUCCGACGCCAUUGAAUGGAUUUGCCAAAAGGAACCAUAGUUUCACACCUCUAACUUGAUAUCACCAUGUUUGUUUAAACUAUGCAAAUAUAAUUUACACUUUGAAGCUUUAGGAAAACUCAAAAGUAUUUUCCAUUAGGACAACUUGUGUGUCUGUAUGAACGUGCUGAACCUGCGUGUAGCUUAAAGAACUGACCUCAUCCUCUCAGUUGUCUGCCCCCAGCGACCGGUCGAGUUGCAGUUCACACCCAAGUCUGUCGCUGUCUAUCCCUUCAUGAUCGUAUCGGGAUGUUGUCUUGGAAAUUCAUCAUAAAGAAUUCAAAUUCUUGUUUAGCAUGUUGUGAGGCCACAGUGACUUUGACAACAAAAUUGUACCAGUUCAUGCUUUAGCGCCAGUGGAUGAUUGUGUAACUUCAACGAAAUUCCCUCCACGUCGUCCAAGGAAAUCAUGAGUGCCGCAGGCUCAAAAAGAAAUGGAAGUAGUGAGUUACAGAAAAGCAGAGGGGAUUGAUUCACUGAAGGAAGUUGAAACGUUUUGGGUGCAGUGCAAAACUAAAGAGCGGUAUCACAUGUCAACUGCCCCCAGGCGAGCAAACAGAUUUAACUUUCUCCUAUUUUGAGGAAACAACUAAUCGUAACUGUGUGGGCCCGUGCAGCCCUAUAGGUAGAUACUUGCUGGAACAGUGGCUUUACUCCCACUGGUACCAUCCACACUCAACAUAUCAGGGAUCCUCUUUCGUCGGGGCGCUUUAGUUGCAAAUAUCCACCAAGUGGUAUAGUUUGUCCCUACAGGCUGCCUUUAUCCUCUGCUACCGGCUUUUAGCCUCAGGCUAACCCUGUUAGUUCCCAAGGGUGAGGAAGAGGAAAACGCUGCUUCCUCAUUCAUUCCUUCAAGCAUACACCAGAUUGAAAGUGCUGGGAUAUUUAUGAUGGCCAUUUCAUGGAGUGAAUAGCUUUGCGUCGAGGAUGGAUGCCCUCGUUCCUGUUUUUAUUCAUUUUCAGAGCAUACUUGUGACAUUGUCUUGUCUUUCAUUACGUCUUUCUGAAAGAAAGUUUGAAUUCUAGAGGAGUUCAUUUUUUUAAUUCCGAUGUAAAGAUAAUAUAAGAGGGACAUUAAGUCUUCCCUUUUUGUUGAGGGUGGCAACAAAUGCCAUCAUCACACAGUUUACGAGGGUUAAAACUAAAAGAUCUAGAUUCGACCAUUUGGGGACAGCAUAGAAACUAGCUGUGAACACAACACUGACAUAAAUUUGAUAAGACAAACAGUUGCUCAUUUACCCAUCCAGCAAUUUAAGGAGCAACAGUAUUAUUAGAGUCGUGUGUCUUUCCAGUUGGUGAACGUAGGUCCAAUCGUAGAUCUACUUUUUAUUUUGUUUUUCCUAACCGAGGGCAAGUAGUUAAGCUAGAAAUGAAAUAAACCUACAUUAGAAGUUUGAAGACAAGUUAUGCACGUAAGGAGUGGUUGAGGAGUUGGGAAUGAGAAUGUGUUGUCUAAGGAGAAAGCUUGCUCUUUUAGUUUGAGACUGCGGCAUUAAACAUUACUGACACAGAAAACAGCGAGCUGAAACCCGCUAUGAAGCCGCAUGAAGCCAAGUGGAGCUGCAGAUUAAGUGGAUCAUUGUGUGUACGGACGACCACGUUCACAUUGUUUCCACAUUGUCAUUUGAUACAUUGCUAUUAUGAAAAUAUCGAUUUUAGCCACUUUAACUCCAGUAUAUUAAGUCAUUGCUGAGAGUGGGAAGAGUACAAAAGGCAUGGAGGUUAAAAGAUGAAGUGGGAGAAUUUGUCAAUUUGGGGACAAGUUAUUAAGUCAGUGCACUGGCCUGCUCAUUUAAGAAUAAAACACUCACCUCAAGGCAAUUUCUGCCCUGUGGUCUGGAACCAACCUUGUCAGAUUAAAAUAACAUUUAUAUAUCACUAAUUCACAAUGGCAAAUACAAGAAAUGAUGCGGCACAGAGUAGUAAAGUUUGUUUGUAAACGUAGUGUGCAGUUUACACACGUCGGUCUUCAUGUAUUUGUCAAGUUGUCAAAUGUAUUCUGAUGUAAUAACCCUUAACUGACAUCACAUAAAGGUUGUAUUUCUCUAAUAUCCAGUUGCAACUAAAGCAAUUCAUAUUUAUGGUUUCUUUAUUCACAUUUAACCAAAACCACCAGUUCUUCCAAACCUGAAACAUCCCCAGUCUCAGGUAACAUUUUGAGCCACAGACCCGCCUACAUGCUGUGGGAUGCACAGAAAAGUGCUUAUACCAGAAGAAAUGAUGCCAGGGAACAUGAUCCAAGCAGUGUUUACCUUUCCCUCAGAGCACAAUCGGGUAAACAGAUCAGUAGUAUAUACAGGCAAUUUCUAAAAGACAAUUUUGCAUUAUCAAUGAGUAUUCUGCUACGCUAAUAGCACGAGCAUGAAACCAGUUUUUUAGUGGCGCUCACAAAAUCAAUCGCACUGAAACACCCAUUUAUUGUGUGCUCGCAAAAUAUACAGAGCUCUAUCUUUCAAUUGAAUUACAAAUAAUAACAAUAAUAACGUUGGCGCAUUCCGCCGCUGAUCUCGGUAUACAAGUACAAUUUCCCUACGAACGGCAUAAGAUAAGGUUUUGCAAACGCGUUGUUAUUAUCAUCAUCAGCAAAACCCCUUUUGAAUCAAUCGACUGCGACAGAUCUCCUGGUUGGAAAAUACCUGAAGAACCAGAAUGAUUGAGCAGGUUCUGGCAUAUUGAAAUAAACAUGGCAACGAUGAUAAAUAAUACGGCUCGAGGUGAUGGCGGUGAUGAUGAUGAUGAUGAUGAUGACGACAAUUCCUUGAACAGCAGCUCUGCACAUGUUAUUCUACUCUCUUCUAAAGAAGAGAACCAUAGUUUUAGUACUGCAGCGUUAAUGGAGCCGUGACCAAAGUUUAAUUUGACAAGCGCCUGUCUCACACACACACACACACACACACACAAAUACACACAAGAAACCGAAAGUGCUUCUAAGAGCACAGUAACAUGUUCACAGCAACAUGCGGACACGCUUCUAUACGUGCACUCUAACCUUUCAACUCUAGGCCUGGGUAAUAAACACCGGCAAACGUUUUCCCAUGACAUUGUGAUCCCCCAGAUUUACUAAAGAAAUGGAUGAUUUAUUAAUACAUUAGAGUAAUUAUGAGGUAAAAAUCAAUCACUAGAUAUCUGAUACACGGUUGAGUGUUAUUCCAGAAUGCUCUCUCAGGAGACGGUGUAGAUUUCAGUAAGUCUGAAAUGUAAUUAGCCUUUAGCUCGGGGCUAUGCUGCGUUCAGCUUGACCUCCUCUCCACAAUGGCCGAGCAUCACUGAUACCGGACUAGUUUUUCAGCCAGACGAAUGCAUGAAUAAAUGAAUCACAAAGAGAAGAGGAAUAUUCACAAAUGAAUGUUUCACUGCAGUGCAAGUUGUACUUUUGUCGCUGGAGUUGAGUGGGAUAGUCUUGACUUUCCUUGAGGUAGCGCUUAUCCACGAUGGUUCAUUUUACACCCUGAAAAUCCAUCCAGUUUUGCACGAAUAUUAACUCAAGCACGGUUGCUGCUGUAAAUGUCUACCUACAAAGACCAGACCGAAUUCUCCUGAACGCCUCAAGAGCUUCAUUUUGCACUACUGGCCUCUGAAAGAAACGUAACAGUCAUGCAUGUCUUGGACAGGUUUGAACUCGGAUAAUCUUGACAACGAGGUGAAUCUCUAGGUUACUCCUAGAAAUGGCAGGAGCAAACAGAAGUAUUAUGUCUGCAAGGACAAAGUUGCUUCUCAAGGCCUGAUGCAUCACUUUGCAUGACUCAAUACGACCCAUGUGUCUUUGUCUGAUCUAAUUGGCUACUAGUCUGGUUGAUUUACCACGGUGCACUUUAUAUAAGUGUAUAGGUUUGCUAAGAACAAAAGGUAUUGAGCCACUUGAGGCGUGCUUUGCUGCUAUCAGAUAAAGAGAGACAACUGUCUGUAGGUAGCCUAAGGAAGAAGGAUGGUUCAGCUUCUAGCAAGUAGGGCACCACUAACCUUGAGCCAGGAUGAUACAGUGUAUGUGACAAAUUGGUUGUUUGUUAACCAUCAACUGGCCUAGAAAGCCCUCCUGAAGCCACUAGACAAGAUACAACGCAAUGCUGAUGGGACCAAACUACUGCGCCAGCCACAGGCGUACCCCACUGCUGCGCCAACGUCCUUAUUAACCCAUUUAUCAACACGUCAGCUGGGUUGGUACAUGGCUCUUGAAGGGGGCGGCUGCGGUUCAGGAGGUAGAGCAGGUUGGGCGUGGGCAACGUGUAUAGAAGCUCUGUGUGAACGCAGUCCAUUCACCGCUGUAAUUGACAAUGAUCCUCUGAAGCAAAGCAAACCUGAAACUGGCUUUGUUCGGUCAGCAGGAGAGAAUACUGUCAAACAGGGGCUUUUUAUGGACAGUCUAUUAACUCGCAAUGACACGUUUCAAGAUACCAACAGUGUGGAGCGGGGGCUCUGAGUUACGCCACUAAUGUGUGUUGCACUUAAUCAUUUUUAAUCACUAAAUUGGUUUUCAAAUCAGGAAUUGAUUUUCUUGGAUUACAGUUUUUGUAACAUCCGUUAAAUCGUGCAAGGACUGUUGUGACUAUCGACAGGCAACAUGGAUGUUCAGUUCAGUUAUUAUUUAUGGUUAUAGUGACUUGUUGUUUGUUUAAUUUUUGUUCCUAGGGAAAUAUACUUGACUGACUUUCACAAAUAAGCUUGUAAUCAUUGUCCAUAUAAGGAAGAGAUUGAGAAAAGCGGUCGAACAAAGGGCUUUCUCCCGUGAGACCGCCACUCUAACUAUAUUUACGAACUGAUAUAUCUCUAUAUCUUAAAUACUGUAACAAACAAGUCAAACCAUUAUGUAUUCACAAAACACAACCAUGUAUUUUUGUUGAGUUAUGUUUAACAGUUAAAACUUUAAUAGUAAUCUGGGAGGAAAAGCGUUACCCUCCAAACGUAAGCGGGACUAUAGGUUGGUUGUAUAUGAUUGUAAUUAAGUGAAAUAAAGGGUAGCACAUGUGUCCACAUCUUUUGAGUUGGACAGGAAAAUCUCCAGAGAUCCCUCUUUUUUUUCACACGUCCAUACUACUGAGCCUACUGGCACUAAACUACUGCUUUGUUUGCAUCCAAUGCUAGUAAAAUAAAGCCCCACGGCAAAAAAACUUGCUCAACUUCUUAAGUCAGCCGUCCCUGUUGUAAAUCACAUAUUCCAGCUGAACAGGACAGAAUGGAAACUCUGCUGUAUAGAAGGCAGGUGAGUUAUGACCGUAGGCCACAAGAGUCCGGUCAUGACCAAUAUCCACGCGAUGACUUUCCCCCGACACCACAACCAGUCUGAGAUUUUUCUGUAUUUCUUUUGCAAUGUGUUGCAUCAGCCAAACGAUGCAAACUGGCCACCAGGAGAACCCGUCCAAAAUGGCCGGUCUGGUCCUGUUUGUGAUCUCUGCAAAAACAGAGCGGGGGCCAGUAGCCCUUUUCUCCCCCCGCCUGGAUGUAAGUUUACUAACUGUGUGUUACAGGUGUUCCUGAUGCAAGGACUAAAGCUUCGCUACGGAAGAAAAAUAAGACCUAAUACAAAGUAGUCUAUGGCCAGCCAAGAAAUGGUUUAACCAGCAUCUCAAAUGUCAAUUACAUUAAAACUUGUAUUGAACUGCUGUUUUUUCCUUUUGUACUCUCGUUUCACACAGCAGAUUAAACACGAGGCUGCCUGGGAAGCAGCAACUUUACAGUAUGCUCAAUUGCUUCAGUGGACAAAUGAAGACUGCCGGAACCCAAAAAAGAGGACUUGCUUUGGUUAACAAAUUAGCACCAGUACAAAGGAGGCUUUGGGCUGCAUCGCCAUUAUUCUGCUAGUUAGCCUCCUCGCUUCCACUUCAUUGUCAUACUGUCAAGCUGAUGCUAUGAAAUACCCAACAAAAGCUACACGUCUUUUUUUGGCAUCUUUUUAAACAUCACCGGCAGAUACCAGCAUGCCCUUUGGGUGAAACCGUGCAUUCUGUGUCUUGCUUAAAGAAGUUGUUGAUCGAAGCACCAUUAACUUAAAAAAAAUGAAUGUGCAGUCUGCUCUAAUAUCUGUGCAUGCAGCUCGCCCGCCGAAUCUCAGCACAAAGCCAAAUCGAAACACAGUCAGCCAAUCAAAGCAAAUGUUCUUAAGAGUUUAAUACAACAUGUGACCCAUACAGCCAGAGAGCCCCCCACCCUGAGCCCUGUUACUACACAGAGGAGCGUUUAGCAGGUAGAGCCACAGAUAGAUAUCCAGAAACAUGGACUCAGUAAAUAAGUAAAUAAGCAACACGUGGGUUUGCAACACCAACCUGAAAAAGGGUUGAAGGGUUUGUGGUGCGUUUACAGUUUUCUUCCCCCGAGUAGCCUGAAAACGAAAUACCUGAUUCAACAUCCCGGACCAGCAUUCAUCUGGUGUUGCAAAGCCAAAUGCCGUCCCCCCCCCCCUCUGCAUCGCCAGGUUUACACUUGAGAUGUAACGGCCCGGUUUUUCAGAGAAACGUUGUUCUCCUCAGCUGACUCGCAGUCCUUAAGGAUGAUUUUGGCGUCUGUUUUGUCUUUUUCGCAUCCAGGGCAAGAAAACCCACUGAUCAUCAGAUGUAAACUAAAUGAUACAUUAUUCAUCAUAUGAACAAUCUGGGUUGUGAUAAAUGAUCAAAGGGGCAACCCUUACUUUCCUCACUGCUCCCCUGCUCUUCUGCCAGAGUUUCAGAGCCAUUAUUACCAACUUCCCAGAUUUCUCAUAGUGCACCUCUGGGUCCCAUCACCCGUGUGUGUGUCUAUGAGAAUGGAUCCAUAUUGUUUUCUGUAUUGUGUAGCCACAGAAGACCUCUAGCAUACAGGUGUGUGUCUAGUUGUUGCAGCUGAUAAGACAUGUGUGUCACAAACCCUCUAAGGAGGGACAAACGGUGGAUAACCCCAAGUAAUGAGCUUUAAUUUAGUGAAAGGCAAUAAAAGGGAGUAUUUGUUUACAGGCAGCUGCAGCGUUGCUUCCUUAGAAUCACGAGGUCAAGUAGCUUUAUAGUCGUGACAGGCCCCAACAGCAGCCCCUUUGUUUGCUGUGGGCCUUUCCAUGCGCAUGGCUUCCAUUUCCCUUGGUUCAAAGAGGGUGAGUGUCCUCAACCUAAUGUUGGUCUUGGCCCUUUUUCACUUGCGCAGAUGCUUCCCACUUUCUCUGGCCUUCAUGGCCGAAAGCAUGUCAAUUACUGGCUACAUCCUGCCCCGCGUGAAAGCAGGAGGUUAUGUCCGAAAUAUGAAUAAUAUUGAGGUCUCUGCGGAUCGCCAGGAGGCAGAGACCCAGAAAUAGCGUCUGUGUCGUUUCAAAGCGGAGCAAUUAUCCAAAGCCAGGCUGGACGAAUCGAUUCCUGCAGUCUUUUUUAAAUGCUCCCGGCCAAUUAUACAGGCAGUGCAUCCUCCCUUUUAGGCCCAUCCUUGAUUUAGACACCACCCACUGAUGGGACUACACCAGGAGCACUUGCUCUUUUUUUUAAAAUGUAUUUUGUUUCCUUCUUUCUCUUUCCUUCUCAUUUGUUACACCGUCACUCUCAUCCCGUCUCCCCCUCUCUCUUGCCUACUCCACCAGUAAGAUAUUCCAAUUAUUACUACUGGAGGAGCACCCCCACCCUCCCUACUUCGCAUCAUACGCCACGUGACCACAACCACUGUCGGAACCAGCUGUUAGUCAGAGAGAGAGAGAGGGGAGAGAGAGGGGAGAGAGAGAGAGAGCGAGGCAGAGACACCAACUCGCUGCGCACGGCGCACAGCCCACAAAGUAGACUUGGAGGACCGCUGCGCUCUGACUGGAGAGCUGCUCGCUUCAGCCGUGGAUACUAUCGCACAACCGGCGUCGUCUCCUGAGCCGCUGUCCCUGGGAUACCCUGGCUCCGUCCUCUCCUUUCACAGUUUUUCGUACCCCCCUCCCCCUCUCCCUCCCUUCCCCUUCUUUUUUUUUUUUUUUGCUUUUCUUUCUCAUCUUUCCUCCCCGUCUCCUCAUCCUCGAGCAUCAUCCCCGGUCUCGCAAGUGGUCUUGCCCGCCUGGCUAACUUUCCCACCCCCCCUUCACCCACCCCGCC
ensembl:lncRNA